GAAGCAGGAGUUGGUGCAGCAGAAGACUCCAUUUUAGGGCUGCCCGAGCCCGUUGUUCCGGAACCGGAGGAAGAACCCACCUACGCCCCAGUUCCAGUUCUAAAUGGAUGGCAUCGCGAGAGCUCUCUUCGGUUGACGUUGUCCGAAACCCUCGAAGGCCGCUCCAUCCUCAGCUCAUACGAUAGAACAAAUAAUCUAACCGUCGAAGAUAAGAAGGUGCUCACACAUUUAAUAAUCGCCAAAGAAAUAAAUCGCAAUGGAUCCUACAAAAUCUCAGCCUCGAGGCUGCGGGAGCUAGCGGAGGAAGUCUGUGUAUGUUUCCCCACCGAGGUGGAGGAGCAUUGGUACGCAGGCCCUGAUGCUCAACGCUCUUGGUGCAGAGGAAAACUUUACGAGAAGUACAAGCACGCGCUACGCAGUGGAAAUUGGAAAUCGCUUCGAAAUUAUGGAAACCUGAAACUGAAGAGGGGAAAGAAUACGAACACCACUUCAUCCAAGUUACCAAGAAUGGAAGAGGGAGUUGCGAUCCAAGAUGACAAACCCGACAUAGGUGUACCCGAUGCGAAGAAUCGAAAGACGGAAGAAGAAGAAGUGAGAGAGUCUAAGAUUGAUUUAAGAUCAAUGCUCUCAAGAAGCCGGACCGGCCGCAAAAUUUUACGCUCUUACGAGAAACAGAAAAGUUUGAGCGAGUUGAGCCGGAACCUGCUGACGAUUUUCUUGAUACGCUCGGAGCUGAACGGUCAUCUCUCGGUCAAAAUCCCCCCCGAGCGAUAUCGCGAAAUGGCCAAGAGCGUCUGCGAAUGCUUCCCGUCCGAGAACGAGAUGGACUGGUUCCGACCCAGAGGGGUCCGUCAGGAUGGAGUCGUAGUCCAGCAAAUGGGAAGACUCUACAAUAAAUACAUAUAUUAUAAGUACUCGCAGAGAGCAAUAAAGGACGUACGCCAUGGAGUCCUCGCCAAAAGUUUAUUCCUCAAGCAGAGUCCUUGCAAGAAGCGGACUGGUUCGAACCCUGAGCGCAAGAAGGAGCCAGAGUUGGCUCCGGAGAACAGCCUUUCAAAGCCUUCCAAGUCUGAAAGUACACUAGCACAAAAGGUAGAGGAUUCUGGGAACGAUCUGAGAUCACUGCUAUCUCAAACCCCACAAGGCCAACGGAUUUUGAGCUCAUAUGAUGAAGCAAAGCAACUGACAGAGCCGGAUCGGAGCACGUUGACAAUCUUGUUGAUUCGUAUGGAACUCAACGGCACGCUAUCCACCAACAUACCCCCAGAGCGUUUCCAAGAGAUCGCUCGAGAAGUUUGUCGAUGCUUCCCGACCGAGGUGGAAGAGGAGUGGUACAGACCCAGGUCGCCUGAUCCCCCUUUUAGCAGACUCAACGCCAGCGGAAGACUGUACGCUAGAUAUCUGUAUUAUAAGUACCAAAAGAAAGCCAUCCGAGACAAACCCAAUGAAGAAGUGGUUGAGGAAAUACCAAUUAAAUCAAUUAGAAUAGAGAAUCGGACUGAUCCACAAUCUGAACGCAAGAGAGGACCCGGACGGCCGCUGAAUAAUAAUAAUUUGAAACAUUUGAAGCCGAGAAAGAAACCGGAACACGAGGCAUGUGAUUCUGGAAACGAACUGAGAUCGCUUCUGUCUCAAAUCCCUGAAGGCCAGCAGAUUUUAAACUCCUACAAUAAUUCGAAUGAGCUAACUGAAGGAGAUCGGAAAACGCUGUCAAACUUAUUGAUUCUCAAAGAACUGAAUGGUGAUGCAUCUGCUAAAAUAUGCCGAGAACGGUUCCGAGAAAUCGCUCGAAAUAUUUGUAGUUGCUUUCCGACCGAGCUGGAAAGAAUUUGGUACAAGCCCAGGGUGCGUUGCAGGAACGGAUCCUACAUAUAUCCCUCAGGAAAACUCUAUCAAACAUGCAUGUAUUACAAAUAUUCCAAGAAAGCAGACACCGACAAACGUGCUGAAGAAAAGGCCGAGGAAAUCUCUGAAAAUCAAAAUCGAUUGAAGAAUCGAACUGAGCCCCACCCUGAACGCUCUGAUUCACGCCCUGAACGCUCUGACUCACGCCCUGAACGCUCUGAUUCACACCCUGAACGCUCUGAUUCACACCCUGAACGCUCUGAUUCACUCCCUGAACGCAAGAAAGGACAAGGACGGCCUCCGAAGAAUACUAAUUUGAAACAUUUCAAGCUAAAAAAGAAACGGGUCCCUAACGAACUUAGAUCACUUCUACAUCAAAUCCCUGAAGGCCAGCAGAUUUUGAACUCGUACAAUAGUUCGAACGAACUAACAGACACAGACCGGAAAACUCUAUCCAUCCUAUUGAUUCGCAAGGAACUGAACGGCGAAUUAUCUACUUAUAUUUCCCCAGGGCGGUUCCAAGAGAUCGCUCGGAAUGUCUGUGGUUGCUUUCCCACUGAGGUUGAAAAACAGUGGUACAGACCUAGAGGGCGAUGCAAGAAUGUAGACCGUCAACCCUCGGGAUGGCUCUAUCGAAAAUAUGUGUAUUAUAAAUAUUACAAGAAAGCAAUCAUCGACAAAGACGUUGAAGUAGUAGCGGAGGAUAUCUCUACAGAUGAAAAGGGAUUAGAGAUGCUUGAAUCAGGCAGCCUAGAACGCCCGUCUUGA
rnacentral:lncRNA from 1 species